rnacentral:rRNA from 1 species
AUACGUAGGGGGCGAGCGUUGUCCGGAAUUACUGGGCGUAAAGGGUGCGUAGGCGGCGCCUUAAGUCAGAUGUGAAAUAUCCAUGCUUAACGUGGAGGGUGCAUUUGAAACUGGGGUGCUUGAGUGCAGGAGAGGAAAGUGGAAUUCCUAGUGUAGCGGUGAAAUGCGUAGAUAUUAGGAGGAACACCAGUGGCGAAGGCGACUUUCUGGACUGUAACUGACGCUGAGGCACGAAAGCGUGGGGAGCAAACAGGAUUAGAUACCCUGGUAGUCCACGCUGUAAACGAUGGAUACUAGGUGUAGGGGGCGAUAGCUCUCUGUGCCGCAGCAAACGCAAUAAGUAUCCCGCCUGGGGAGUACGAUCGCAAGGUUGAA